rnacentral:lncRNA from 1 species
GGUACUCACUUUUGUUUGUUUUAGGUGCAUGUUCAUGCUCUGUUUUAAUUGAAAUUUGCUAUGUGAUGGGUUAUGUUUUCUGUUUGUUGUGGAUUUACGUUCUCAAGUCUGUGUCAUUGAUUCUUGAACCUACGAUAUUUUUUCAUUGCUGAUUCUUAUUGGUUAUAAUUUUGUGAUUGGUGAAGGUGAAGCUAAGGAAGUUGUGAAGAAAUGGAGAUGUUCGUUUUUGGUUUUAAGAGAAACAAAUGGGGUUUGUUUUUGGUGUGAAGAGAAAGAGAUGGUGUUUGUUUUUGGUCUCAACCUCUUCAAUCUCAUUUUAAAAUUAUGAAGUUGUAUGAACAAUGUUUUUGUUUUUGCUCUCUGUGGUUUCUGUCAAAAAACUUUAUUUUAUUAUCACACUAUGGAUGGCUGAGACCAAAAACAUUAUGGAUCGUUCAUGUCUGAAUUUUUCAUUUAUCAUUAUCAAACCAUAAUUAACCGAACAAACUGAAUAGGAGCAAACAUAACCGAGAAAACCGUUUAACCCGAGAAAACUGAAAAAAAAUUCAAAAAAAGAAAACGAAAAAACCAAGAAAUUAAACAUUUCGGUUCAAUUCGGACCACAUAAUAAUAUCUAAAACCGAACCGAAUAAACCGAUUUUCAAACCGACCCGAACCGAAAUUUACUUCGGUUUAUUUCGGUGUGAUAAUUCCAAAACCGAAAGAACCGUAAACCGAUUAACCCGACCCGUUUAACCCGAAAAAACCGAAUGCCCAGGACUACUUUUUUCAAUGAAUUUUUUUAUAUUUUAAUUUGCUUUUUUAGUAAAAGAUUGUGGUAGCUAUAUAACAUUGAUUUCAAUAUUUAUGUGUUGAAUAGGACGGUGUGAUACUAGGUGUGGAUACCCGAGCAACUGAAGGGCCCAUUGUUUUCUGAUAAGAAUUAUGAGCAAAUUCACUUAAGGGUACCAAACAUAUAUUGAUGUGGGGCUGAACAGUGCAUUCCAAGUUAUGAAGAGAUACAACAAUGUACUGUUUGAUGGAAGCUCAAUGAAACUAGAGAUUUUGGGUGGAAAUAUGAAGGAUGCUUUUUUGCAAGCUCGUGUUAAUGCAACUGGAAUGAACGAAAGGAUGAAGAGGACUGAUUCCAUUGAGGAUGUCUUGCUAUUUGAUUUGUCCUUUUUCCACUCACGAAAGAAAAGUGAAGUUUGUGACUUUAUACAUGCCACUGAUUAUUGGAGACAAUGAGUUAGAGGCGGGAGAGGCAGACUAGAAAGAUUUGCAACUUCUCCUUUGAGACGCUUUCCAAUGCAAGUGUUAUUGACUCUAAGCACGCUUUCAUAUAAACUAUGUGGCGGUUUCCAUCUUCUAGUCAUAUUAUAUUUAUUGGCAGCCAAAACCAACAAGGAGGUGUUGUGAGAAGCGAGGUGGUAGAGGCAGAGGCCAAGCUGAUGGUGGCAAAGGGAAUAAUGGCCCAGCUGGAGAUUGUCGUCCCUAAAAUUUUUUUAGAAAAUGAAAUAAAGAGCUCGGACAUGGACGUGCAGGAUAACAAUAGCAGUAGGAUUUUUACAGUUGUGGAUCCUCACGUAAACACGCUCAUGUCUGUCUAGGAGCAUCCGGAGCUAAAGCCGCUGUUGGUCAGACUUAUGCAACAAUCUUUUUCCGUAACUACGAGGUAUUUCCGCUUGAGUCAAGAGGUUAGAGGCUGCAACGAGUGUAUGACAGGAUACAAGGUGAUAAUUGCGCUACGAGAUAUCAGUGGGUUACUAACUAAUCAUACGACAGGGAAAAAGCCUCAUCGUUAAGAAAAUUUGCGCCGACCACCGGAGGAGUCAAGAAGCCUCACGUUCCGGAACCGCUGCUCUUCGUGAGAUUGAUUAUAAAAUAAAAUACCAGAAGAGUACGGAGCUGUUGAUCCGUAAAAUUUUAUUAAAUUUGAAGACAGUUAAAUUUACGUGAAUGUAUUUCAAUAAUUUUAAGAAAAACAAGGCAUAUUUUCAUAUUUUCAUAUUAAGAUAUUUAAUAUAUUACUCUUUUCAAUUCUAUACAGUUUCACAAUAUGAGAUUUUUAGUAUAUUUAACAAAGUUUAACUUCAUAAAAGUCUAUAACUAAUUAUAUUUACUAUUUUUAUCUAUAAUUAUAUAAAUUCAAUAUAAAUUAUAUUUUAAUGAUACUUUCAAUUUGCUUUAAUAUAUAUGUAUCAUGUAAAACAUCUUAUAUUAAAAAAAUAUGAUAGGACCGGAUUUUUACUAUACCAUACUCAUCAAAUUUAAAAUAUAUUUUUUUAUUAAACCGAGCAUGCAAUCUAACUUACCAUGUAAAUUUAUUAACAAAACAAUAGUGAAUUAUGUGAUAGUAUUUUUAUAUCUUUCAUUUAAAUAAAAAAAUAAAGAUUUAUUGUAUGUUUAUAUUUUAAAUGGGAUGAAUAAGUCGUUGAUUUAGGUAAUUAUUCGGUAUCAAAAAUCAGAAAAACCAUAUUGGCACAUCACCACAGCUGAAUUUGAGAAACUCAUCCGUAGAAUUAAUCAAGGAGAUUAAUGACAAACUAAGCAAACAAAUGGUGGAGAGUACAUAGGGAGAGCUGAAAAAAAUUGAGAGUUGUACAUUUCGACAGCUGAAAAAAAUAGAAAGCAUUCUACAGCCUCGCCAUUAAAAAAGUUAUACUACUUGCACCACGAAAUGAAAUCAUCGUAAUCAAUGCUUACACUAUUUUCCAUACUGAUGGGAUCUUGAGAAGGUAUCUCAGAUAUUAGAAACUCUUCAAGAACAUAAUAAACAUUAUAUGCGGUUGAGUACUUUUUUUUUGUUUUUUUUUUGGAAUACACGGAUAUGUAUUCACAUAAUUCUCACUUAAUGUCAAUCAAAAAAGAAGAUUAUGUCAUGGUACACGGCUUACUGUGACUUACUUGGUCUCUGUUAUGCUAAAUAUCAAUCAAAAAGAAGAUUACGUAAUGGUACACGGCUCAUUGUGACUUACUUAGGCGAUCGAAAACAGAAAUUAACUGUUAGGGUCUCUCACAGUGGUAAAAGACUUCGCCUAUGUAGGCACCACUGUUUUAUCAAACUAUGUUUUUCUAUGACAAUAAACAAGAACUAAGAUCUAAACUAAAAAAAAAAUUUCCUAUAUUUUGCAAAAUCAAUCUUAACUCAUGGAUAAAAUUAUGUGUGGCUCGCUCACGUGUUAUUGGCAAAACCGGAUUGACAACUAUACAAAAAAAGACUACCUACAAUAUUAUAAAAAAAAGAAAAAAUUGCCAAAACACCACGGAAAAACAACUAUAUUGUCUCUUUACCAUAAAUCCUUUUUUUGGUCGGAUUUGGACUUAGAUCCCCCUGACCAAUUUCAAAAAUUCAUAUCAAUUAUUUUAAGAAACAGAAAAAUAUGAAAAAUUAUUCAAAAUGUACAUAAACAUGAAACAAUCAUAUGAAAAAUAAUUUGGUUGACUAAAUAUUAGUGAAACACAAUUUCAUAUUUUGAUCUACGGAUAGUAGAAAACAAAAUCUACUAACUACGGAUAUGUAGAUCGUAGUUUCGGUUAACUACAUAGAUAUCUGGCGCUUUCAGAUUUUAAAAUCUACGAUUCGGUAAUCUGUCUACUAUCGCAGAAAGAAAAGGUUACGGUUUUGCUUACGAUUUGAACGACGAAAGAUUUCACGAACUACUGUUUCCUAUAUAUCUACUGGCUGAAAAUCACAGAAUCUGCCAGUUACUAAUAAUCUAGCAUGGUAACAUUUUGUUAUCUACUAAGAUACUAUAUCCUAUCUCUGCCGGAUUAUACAGUCUAUCGUCGUAUCUACCAUCAUAUAUAAAAUCUACUGGCAGCAGAAUGCAUGUUCUGCCAAAUUCGUUUUAUGUUACUUCUGUUAGAUUUUUAUGACAUUCUCAUAUUAAUAUAUAUUAUUCUGAUUGCAUAAUCCUUUUCUGUUUCAUUGCAGCAAAAGUAUUAUUGGGACCCCAUUCAUUACAAUGUGGUGCGUUUACAUUGGAAGAAGACAAUGAUGUCGUUGAUCUCCAACUUCAUCAGCAAGCGCAAGCGGAGUGGCAAGAUACCUCCAUUCAUGAGUUCAGAGCACUGGGGUGCUUUGCAAACAUAUUGGGGUACUGAACCUGCUAGAAAGAAAAGCAAGUCUGCUUCUGAAAGCCGCUGCUCAGAUCAAGGAGGUCUAGGUCAACACAUCCACACUGCUGGUUCGACACGAUUUAUGAAGAUCAAAUAUGAUACUAAGUCUGAACUUGUCUGAACUUGCUAAAGAUGUGCUUGCGGUUCAAGUUUCUUCUGUUGCUUCUGAAUCGGCGUUUAGCACUAGUGGGAGAAUUUUGGAUCCUUAUAGGAGUUCUUUGACUCCUUAUAUGAUCGAGGCUUUGAUAUGCACACAACAAUGGAUGCGGUCUUCAAAUCAGUCUCAGCCAGUAGUUGCAAACUUGGCUCAAAUGUUGGAAGAAGUUGACUUUUUUGAGUCAUUGGGUAAGUUUUACAACAAAUGGUGUUUGUUACAUAUUAUGAAUGGUAUGUUAAGCUUUAAUUUUCUUAACUAAUUAAUGGCGUUUUGUUCCUUUUAUAGAUUCUCGAAACUCACAGGCAUGACCAAGUGAGGUUUAGGUACGUGAAGGUACUCACUUUUGUUUGUUUUAGGUGCAUGUUCAUGCUCUGUUUUAAUUGAAAUUUGCUAUGUGAUGGGUUAUGUUUUCUGUUUGUUGUGGAUUUACGUUCUCAAGUCUGUGUCAUUGAUUCUUGAACCUACGAUAUUUUUUCAUUGCUGAUUCUUAUUGGUUAUAAUUUUGUGAUUGGUGAAGGUGAAGCUAAGGAAGUUGUGAAGAAAUGGAGAUGUUCGUUUUUGGUUUUAAGAGAAACAAAUGGGGUUUGUUUUUGGUGUGAAGAGAAAGAGAUGGUGUUUGUUUUUGGUCUCAACCUCUUCAAUCUCAUUUUAAAAUUAUGAAGUUGUAUGAACAAUGUUUUUGUUUUUGCUCUCUGUGGUUUCUGUCAAAAAACUUUAUUUUAUUAUCACACUAUGGAUGGCUGAGACCAAAAACAUUA